rnacentral:rRNA from 1 species
CACAUGCAAGUCGAGCGGUAGAGAGAAGCUUGCUUCUCUUGAGAGCGGCGGACGGGUGAGUAAUGCCUAGGAAUCUGCCUGGUAGUGGGGGAUAACGUUCGGAAACGGACGCUAAUACCGCAUACGUCCUACGGGAGAAGGCAGGGGACCUUCGGGCCUUGCGCUAUCAGAUGAGCCUAGGUCGGAUUAGCUAGUUGGUGAGGUAAUGGCUCACCAAGGCGACGAUCCGUAACUGGUCUGAGAGGAUGAUCAGUCACACUGGGACUGAGACACGGUCCAGACUCCUACGGGAGGCAGCAGUGGGGAAUAUUGGACAAUGGGCGAAAGCCUGAUCCAGCCAUGCCGCGUGUGUGAAGAAGGUCUGCGGAUUGUAAAGCACUUUAAGUUGGGAGGAAGGGCAGUUACCUAAUACGUGAUUGUUUUGACGUUACCGACAGAAUAAGCACCGGCUAACUCUGCGCCAGCAGCCGCGGUAAUACAGAGGGUGCAAGCGUUAAUCGGAAUUACUGGGCGUAAAGCGCGCGUAGGUGGUUAGUUAAGUUGGAUGUGAAAUCCCCGGGCUCAACCUGGGAACUGCAUUC